UAUAGUCAACAUGUCAUGAAAGAGCUAACGUUAGAGAUAAUACAGCGAUAAUGAAGACAGAGAAUUUAACAUUUUGUAAACAUGGCUAUAUUUGGAGAACCUUUUAGAAAAUGAGAUGAUGCAGGCAUAUCAUUAUUGGGAGAUACUUCUCCUCCCUACUUGUGGGCGGGUGAUUUAGAAACACGUCACACAUCAAUCAUUAAGUAUAAAACCUAGCCUGUCAGCAUUGUAGAGCACAGACUCUCAGUUCAACAGAAAACGUAUCCUUAGGAGAAAAAGGCAACUGAUAAAAUGAACAACAUUUGGAUCUUGUGCCUUGGGAUGCUGAUCAUGACUCUACCAUUUUCAGCUUCAGGGGAGAAGUCUUCAGAUGCCUCAUCAUCAGGCACUGCUUCUACGAAUUCCAGUGCUGUGGGAUUGGCUCAUGGGUCUGUUGCACUGUGUCUGCUGAUCCCAACGGCCACCCUGGGCUUUCUCUACAAUACACCUUAAUCUGGAUGGAGAAAGUAUGCAAAAUACAUGGUGAAGACUGAAACAGUGGCAAAGAUGGACAGCUGGUCAUCCAAAGAGCAAAUCUUUCAACAAUUCUUUCGAACAAUAGACACAACAUGGAGAAAUAGACACUUGUAAUGGAUUUUAAAAUAAUGAAAGUUAACAGUUCUAAAAUCUUCCCCUAAGGGAUUUGUUUGGUCAUAAGCUUGUAGGACUUGCUGAAAACCAAGGGUCCUUCAAACCACAGUCCCACCAGAACCACAGCACUGAAGUUUUGUUGUGGUUUUGUAGGGCUCCUCUACUCAAUAGCAAUUUCUUUUGAAAGUUUCUUUUUGAAAGUCUGUAUCUUAGAAGCCCGGAUUUCAUUAAACUUCAAUCAGUAAUCACCGCAUUCAUUAAAAAUUUUCUUUUUAGAGUUAAAGUCAGUCUGAGAAUUUAUUAAUUAUAUAUUAUAUUUGUAUUAAUUAUAUAUUAAUUUGGUUUCUGUCAUUAUGUUAUCUGUACAUUAUACAUUACUGUGUGAACCUAAUCAAUGUAAUUCAUCUGGUGUUGUAAGUUAUUUAUGGAUUAUAAUGAAUUGGUAAUUGUUACAAUUAAAAUGUAUGUAAAAUAUGCAUAAUUAAAAUGAAUAAUUUUAGAUGUUCAUCUUCGAUCCAACUUUUGUGUGUCCUGUCAACAUGCAGUUAUCUUCAAAUUGUAUAAAUGCUUUAGGUUGUAGUGUGUAGAUCUGGAGUGAAUAAAGACACCUGUUAGAAAGAGAUGAGGGCAGAAUCAGGAGUGGUGGGCGGGUGUUUCAGAAACACGUCACAUUUCAAUCAUUAAGUAUAAAACCCCGCCUGUCUGCAUCACUGAGCGCAGACUCGCAGUUCAAUCGAAAACUUAUCUUUGGGAGGAAAAAGCAGCUGUUAAAAUGAAUGCCAUCUGGACCUUGUGCCUUGGGAUGCUGAUCAUGACUUUACCGUUUUCAGCUUCAGUGGAUGACAGUAACUCAAACAAGACUGCUCCAACCACUGACAAAAAAGAUGAAUCUUCCAGCGCUGCAGGAUUGGGUCCUGUGCCCGCCACACUGUGUCUACUGAUCCCAGCAGCCACGCUCUACUUCAUCCAUGGGAGAUCUUGAACAAAAUUGAGAAAGUUUGCCAUAGACGAUGAAGACUGAGACAUGAACAAACAAGACAGCAAAUCAGACUUUUUUUUCAAUCUAGAAUGUGGUGUAUAGGGAGUGGAACACAAUCACAGUUCAUAUUUGUAUUAGACUUUUGAAAGUUUUGAAAAAAAUAUUUUUAGAGAAUUGUUCUAGAGAGUUUACAGGAACUCCCCAACGGUGCUCCAGAGCAAACUAAAGUUUUGAAUGAGCAACAUGAUUUACAUUAUACAGUAUUUCAGAUUCUGAAAAGACAUUUUUGUACACCAUGUUUUAUAAUAUGAACCUUGCCCUUUUACAACAUUUUUGUACUGAUUGUGAAAAACAUUAUUGGUUAUUAUUACGAAUGUGUUGAUAUGCACAAUAAAAGCUGGUGGUACACCUGUA